CACGUAGGGUGCGAGCGUUGUCCGGAAUUAUUGGGCGUAAAGAGCUCGUAGGCGGCUGCUCAAGUCGAAUGUGAAAACUCGAGGCUCAACCUCGAGCCUGCAUUCGAUACUGGGCGGCUAGAGUCUGGUAGGGGGAUCUGGAAUUCCUGGUGUAGCGGUGGAAUGCGCAGAUAUCAGGAGGAACACCGGUGGCGAAGGCGGGAUCCUGGGCCAGUACUGACGCUGAGGAGCGAAAGCGUGGGGAGCAAACAGG
rnacentral:rRNA from 1 species